CGCCGGACGCCUGCGGAGCUUCACAGGCUGCUGCCGCUCUGAGGAAGCUGAACCUCAGGUCAGGUACGUGACUGGCCUAGGACUUGGGUGACAAGCGGCAUGCCUCCAGGUGGCAUCUGUUUUUUGAAUUAAUAAGCCUACACUUUUCUCGUCAAAGGCAACAAUGACUUCAUCCUAUUUCCAGAGUGCAGAAAGCCUGCUUCUCAAUGACCCAGAUGAGAAAGAAAAAGCUAUAACUACAUGCCACCACUCUUGAUUGUUUCUGUUAUUAAAGAAAGAAAUAAGGUGACUUCCCUUGGGAAGGAAGGACCAGUACUGCCUUCUUAGGAUGCUGUGAAGUCUUGAAUUCAAACCAACCACUGAACCUAUCGUCACACCUGGCAGCGCUGACUAUGAGACAGCAAUGGUGGGCCUAGCUCCUAUGUUCCCAUGAAGAGCACCUGUAGAUGUUGUCCACACUCAUGUGGCAAAUGAACUGAUGUCAAAGACAAGCAAAAUUGCCAAAACUACCUUCUGGAAGCCCUUCUAAAAUGAAGGACUCAACUGCAUUGUUUGGACUGGGCAGAGAACCCCAAGGAAGCCACACUGGGGGCCCUAUUAACCUCUAAUGCCUAACUAAUGUUUGUCUUCAUCGGAUGGCCUAUCAGUUGCAAACUUUUUGUUUCCAAGGGUACUCUCUGGGAUUGAUUAUACUUCUUGCAUGUGUUCGUUGACUUUCAUGGAUUGCCUCAGUCCUGGAAGGCAUGCAGGUCAGCUUCAACUUACUAGUCAGAGUUGUACGGUGCUUGAAUUAAUGAUUCAAGCCAGGUAAAAAGGCUAAUGCAAAAAAAAAAAACUUUAGAGGAGAAAGCCACCUGGC